UGGUAGGCUCAUUCGAGUCACGGGAAUUUCAUUUCAAACAAAAACAUUAUUCCAAAAUGACAUGACAAGAAGAAGAGGAAGGAAACUCUGUUAAACAAAGCCAAUUAGGGCUAAUAAUGUUAUGUUCAUCAAUCAUUUGUACUGGUUUCUCAAAUCCUUAAGAUCUCAAAGUAAAAGAAAAAGUCCCUCAAUCAUGGUGACUUCACCGUUGAGUAUAUUCCUCGAGUGUCCAAGUUAGGUCUCAGUCUUGUCUUCCUGCAAAAACCAUGAGCAAUCUUUGUUAGAAAAAUGCCGGAUCGUUCAUCGUCAUACAGCAAGAUUGUUUAUGGUAAGCUUUGUUUCUAAUCAGUAUGCCAAAAGGACAAAGGUUGUGCCUUUAUUUCAUAUCCUAAUAAUUUAAUUUAGCCAGCUUAGCAUCCUAAGCCUAUAGCUCUCAAUUGAUGAUGGAACAAAGAAGAAACGAUUGCUAGCAAUGAAGCAACUAUAAAAUAGCAUUACCAAGUAGCUUGAUCAUAUGAUACUCGCCGUGACUGCAUAUUUAACAGGAGCUAUCUAUCUGAAUAAGAACCUAGUUCCAUUGAAACUCUAGUUAAGAAUACCAUAUUCAGCUACUAGUGUCAUUUAACUCUUUGUUCCGUAAGCUACAUGAAUGCAUAGAAACCUAAGAAACAGUGAGCAGAUUCUCAGAAAAAGAUAUCGCCAGCCGAACUCACCUGAGGAGUGGGAGGACUUUCCACCACCUUAGAAGGAGGAGGAGUGGGAGGACUGCUUGUCACCUUAGGAGCUGGCAAUGUCACGGGAGACCCCUCG
rnacentral:lncRNA from 1 species